AAGCAGCUAAAUCAUUCGCCCCAGAUCACACAGCCGUUCAGUGCUUAAAGGACAUCUUUCCCACACCAGAACUCUCCGCCUGGGUGGCAGCCGAGUCCUGGGAAGGUGGCAGAGCUUGUGGAACCCCGAGGUGGCCCUCAAGUUGGAAGGUCAUUCCCAGCCCUGCUCCCUCCUCCCCACUCACCUCUUUGGUCAGCCUUUCCCCUUCGGCCCUUCUCCCAUUCAUGGCGGCCACCUUCUGCAGGUUCCGCAGGGCUUGUUGGGACUUGCCGUGAAGGAGGAGCCAUCGAGAUGACUCUGGCAGCCACCUGGGAGGGAGAGAAGGAUGCAGAAGGACCAGGGCUGGGUGGAGCUCAUUCCAUUUCCCAAACCCAGUUACACCCACAUCCACCUUCUCUCAGAUCCUAAAAAAAGGGUGCAAGGUCCCUUGUCUCAGAACCAAGAAGACGGCAGGACACGUCACCUUCCCUUUUUUGUAAUAAAGAGAGUCACUGAAGGGUCCUUAGAGACUACAGUGGACUCAGUAUUCAAUCUCUCUCUGUCUUUUUUUUUUUUUUGGGGGGGGG
rnacentral:lncRNA from 1 species